rnacentral:rRNA from 1 species
ACAUCCAGAGAAUUUAGCAGAGAUGCUUUAGUGCCUUCGGGAACUCUGAGACAGGUGCUGCAUGGCUGUCGUCAGCUCGUGUUGUGAAAUGUCGGGUUAAGUCCCGNAACGAGCGCAACCCUUAUCCUUUGUUGCCAGCACGUAAUGGUGGGAAACUCAAAGGAGACUGCCGGUGAUAAACCGGAGGAAGGUGGGGAUGACGUCAAGUCAUCAUGGCCCUUACGAGUAGGGCUACACACGUGCUACAAUGGCGCAUACAAAGAGAAGCGACCUCGCGAGAGCAAGCGGACCUCAUAAAGUGCGUCGUAGUCCGGAUUGGAGUCUGCAACUCGACUCCAUGAAGUCGGAAUCGCUAGUAAUCGUAAAUCAGAAUGUUACGGUGAAUACGUUCCCGGGCCUUGUACACACCGCCCGUCACACCAUGGGAGUGGGUUGCAAAAGAAGUAGAUAGCUUAACCUUCGGGAGGGCGUUUACCACUUUGUGAUUCAUGACUGGGGUGAAGUCGUAACAAGGUAGGCGUAGUGCU